AUAAACUACACACAUGACCCUUCAUACCAACUAUACAUAAGUGUUGACUCCGGGAUCAUUCCCUAACCAAGAAACAUGUAUAAACAUAUGGAGCUAGCGAUACUGAUGGAAGGAUAAAGUGUCGGGACAUCUAAACCACUCGGCCACAGCAUGGAAAUGUGCGAGGGGAUGGGGUCUCACUAUGGGAAGAAACCGGUGUACAAACUAAACUAGCAUGCACUGCUCUCCAGCACGAGGUCAAGCAGCGAGGAACGUGUGUGGAAAACACGGAUGGACCUGAUAGAAGUAUAAUAGGAAACGGUGUGUCAUUAAUUUCCGCGUGAAUGUUGAAUGUGAUCGAUACGGAAUGUGUCUAAUCGGUAAUAUGAAGGUCAACGUUUACCUAGUGAUGUGUUUUAUAUUGGGAGGUAUGCUGGCUCUCAAACUUUUCUUUCAAAUGCGAUGUACGGACAAAGAAAAAAUGCACCAAGUCCCCAGUAUUCUGAUAUCUGCACCGAGACAAUCGACAUUUCAUCAAUAAAAGUAAACGUAUCAAACGUCCCUCGAAUGAUAUUUGAUGUAGCCAUGCAUCUCAAAAA